rnacentral:rRNA from 1 species
GACGAACGCUGGCGGCGUGCCUAACACAUGCAAGUCGUGCGAGAAACCCCUCCUUCGGGAGGGGAGUACAGCGGCGCACGGGUGAGUAACGCGUAAGUUAUCUGCCCUUUGGUCUGGCAUAACUCCGGGAAACCGGGGCUAAUUCCAGAUGAUGUCGCAAGACCAAAGCCUUCGGGCGCCAAAGGAUGAGCUUGCGUCCC